AUUACGAGAUUCGAACUGGGUACAUGUUAUCGUGAGUUUCAUAGACAUCUCUAACGAUUACGUAACAGUGUUUUAAUCUUCACACUCUUGUUAUUUCACACUCUCAAAUAAAUGAAGUUAUGUAAAUCAAUUUUGUGUAGCCUAUGUUUCAAAAUAUUAUCUGUAUUUUGCACCAUUUACAAAUGUAAAAUAGUAUUGUUAAAAAUUCAGAAGUUUUUGAAUUUGUCAGCACUUGGAGAUUAUUUUUCUCGUGCCGUAGACCGACUGAAGAAGAAAAAAAAGGGGUCAGAUUAUUUUCUUAGUGCUGUGUUUAAAGUUAUGUAUUAUUGACGCAACAGAUUAUGAGAUACAGAUGAAACAUGCAGGGAACCAUGUAAAUGAUUCUGAAAGUGGCUACCCAGGUGCUGUUUAAGGAAGCUUGUAAUAGGAGUGGAAAACCACCCAAAAACUAUGUGUCUCAAAAUGCCAGUAGAGACAUAGAAAGAAGAGAGGAACUAGCUGGGAUAUCAUUAUGAAGAACCUAACCUCCUUGGAGUCAAACUAUAUUCAGAGGGAAUGCAGAUACUGAGGCACCCUAGCUCAUCUAGGAAGUCGGGAAGAAAAAAGCGAGCCAAUGUUCAGUGCCACACUUGGACCACUGCAGAAAAGGCAGCUUUGUAAAGACAAUUUGAGACUUUCAUCAAACUAGGAAAAACUCUGGCUCAGGUUGACUGUCUAAAAUCCAUUUGGAAGGAGAAAUCGCUGUCCAGUUUAACAUGGUGUCGUGGAAAGUUUGCUGUUAAAAAUAUUACUUCCUGGCAGAGGUGUUACAAAGAGUUAAUCCAAUUUUUAUGCCCCCUCCAUUUGAACGAGAGGGGACGUAUAUAUUGUUUUACAUGACUAAUUCGGUCUGUAGAGCAAAUCUUGUCUGCUCAAUAUCUAAUGAAUUCUUUUGCUUGACUGUUUCCAAACUUGGUACAAUGAUUGCCCCUAGAUAGUGAAUGAACCAUAUUAAUUUACAGGUCACAGGGUCAAGGGUCAAACUGGACACAGUAAGAUAUUGUCUGUUCAAUAUCUUGAGAACGCUUUCCUGACAGACAUCAAACUCGGUAUACUGGUUUCUUUUAAGAAGUAGGUGGUUUCUUUUAAGAAGUAGAUGGUUUCCUUUAAGAAGUAUGUGUCCCAUAAUGUCCCAUAUUCAUUUUCAAGUCACAAGGACAAAGGUCAAACUGUACAUAAUAAAAUAUUGUCCACUGAAUAUUUAAAGAACCAACCCUUUACCUGACAGUUACUAAACUUGGUACAGCGGUUGCCCCUAGAGAGUAGAUGACCCCUACUGAUUUCCAGAUCCCAAGGUUGAAGGUAAAAUUGGACAUAGUAAGAUACCGUCUGUUCAAUAUUUGAGAACCAUUCGCUUGACAGACAUCAAACUUGGUUCACUAAUUUUCCUUAAGAAUUAGAUACCCCAUGGAUUUUGAGGUCACAAGGUCAAGGGUCAAACUGGACAUGACAAGAUAUUGUCUGCUCAAUAUAUUGAGGACUCUUUGCUUGACAGAUAUCAAAUCAGGUACACUGGUUCUACCUAAGGAGUAGAUGACUCCAUUUGAUUUUGAAGUCACAAGGUCAAUGGUCAAAAUACUACGGACAUAGGUAUUGUCUACACAAUAUCUUGAGUUUGCGUUUCUUGACAGACAUCAAAGUUGGUACACUGACACAUCAUAAGUGUAGAUAUCUAGUAUUCAUUUUAAGGUCAAUGGUCAAACUACUCUGGACAUCAGAUUUUGUCCAUUCAGUAUCUUCAGAACCCUUGUUUGACAAACAUCAAACUUGGUAGUCUGGUGCCGCCUAAAGAAUAGAUGGCUCCCAUUGGUUUUAAACUCUCAAGGUCAAAGGUCAGGACUCAAAUAACUGGUUAUUUGAAAAUAUCUGCUCAGUACCUUUAGAGAUCACAUAUAAUGGUUGCCUCUGACUAAUAGAUACAUUGUAACUUUUGCUACAGACAUUCUAAAUGAUCAUUUUCAAUAUUGUAAUAUGGAGGGCAUAUAUGUUUCUUAAAUCUUUCUUGUAAAUGGUUUUGAUACUAGUUUUAUAUACAAGAUGUAUUAUCAGCAUUUGUCAUUCAUUGUACACCAUACAUUGGUUCAUUCAAAAUUGAUAAAUAUAUAAUCAACAGCAGUACACAUGAAAUAAUUCUCCAUCUAUAUCUUGAAUUGAACAAAAAGUUUAAUGGUAUUCCAAGGCUUUAUAUUCAUGUGCGAUUGAAAGACUGAAUGAAUAUACUAAGAUAAUAUAACAGUAUUUAACUAAAACUACAUUUGUAAUUGCAGUUUAACACUAAUGUACUUAUAAUGUAAUUGAUAGUACCACGCUCUUACUUGUAACUUGUUUUCAUUUAUAUUCAAUAGAUAUUUCAAGUUUGAUAGCUAACUCAAAUUUCAAAUAUGAAUGAACAUUAAGUGUCUGCUGUUUUAAGACUAAAGAGUAGCUUUAUUUACAUCAUAUGAGGUUUUUUGAGCUAAAUUGAUCAGCUUUGUAUGCUUAUGAAAUAAAUAUGUACACCUAUA